CAGGGUUAGUCAAGCGGCAUAGGAGAAACGGUUUAUUAAAUCAUACUAUCAACAUGCGGCGCCACGUGCGUUAUCUAUGCAGAUUUCUGUAAAUUUGGGGUACGUGGCACGGUCGUUAAUAGAAACUACUUAUGCCAUCUUUUGGUAGUGUGAUUUCAAAUUAAAUUCACGAAUUUAUCCAAAAAUCCAAAAUAUUAAGCAACCUUUGGCGCGCAAUGUCACACUACAUUCAACGGUGUCAAAAAGUUUUUUCAAUUUUAAAUGUUUCAAUUUCCAAUUUGAAUUAUUCUGCUACGUGUUGUGUUCGUGGUUUUCUCUUUUUAUUCUUAUUUGAAUUCGUUUGUUGGUGUUAUCUACUCCUAAAGUAAUCUCAAAAACAUUUAAGUUUUGAACUUUCGAAGGCUAAAUUUUGCUCUGGUGUGGACCUAUUAUACAACCUACAACGUUUAUUAAACAACUUCUGGCUGGCUGGAACACAUGAUUCUGGAAACAGUGCAUCUCUUUACUUGUGAGAGCUAUCCAGAAACAAAUCGACUUGGGCACCAAAAAUAACUUCGAGAAUUUAAACCAAAUUUCAUUUUUUGAGUGGACAUCUAUGAUGGACACCGUUUAAGACUUCUACCUUGCACAUAGUGUCUUUUAUUUAAUACACGCGUUCAUUCAUUCAUUUGUACAAAAACCACAAAAACGUAUCUUGAACUCCCUCCUUUUUACCGUUAAGUUUCAAGACUGGUGAAUCCACCAAAGUGGAGUCCUUACAUUAAAAUCAGAAAAACCUUUUACUCAUAAUAAGUUCAUAUAAGUAAAUUUGUUGUAAAGUCAUCUAUGUGAGUCUACAACCAACACGAAAACAUACAAGAAAUGUUUGCACAAACUAUUAAAAGCACUACUUUUCUGUGGAAAUUGAAUUGGGCACAUGUCUAAAACUCCAAUGGUACCUUAUUAGAGUCCGUAUUUACAUAUUUAGUUCUUUAAUUUUUUUCCAAGUUUCAAAAUAAUGUUAAAUAACCGGUUUUUGAGGGUGAGGAAGUCGCCAAAUUAAUAUGUGGAAGCCAAACACGACAUUUAUUUCUUAUAAUUGAUGUUUUCAUAAUUUGUGAAACGUUAAUUCAUUAAUAAAUUAUUUUCAUUCAA